ensembl:lncRNA
GUUUAAUGAAGAUCAUUCUAAAACUGGAUGAAGCAAAUUGAUGCAAAUAAAGGGGCUCAGCCACUAAGGGUUUGGAAUCUGCUGGAAAUUUGCUCCAGCUUCCCAAUGCUAGAACAUAACAUUGGAAGAAGAGAAAUGAACCUAAAUUUAUGAGGAAUAUCUGAAGAAAUGUGGAGUUUGUAGAAGGAAAACUUGCAUAAUAAAAAUGAAUCUAUAGUAGCUCUUGUAUGCCAAAGUAGUUAAGGAAAUGAAAAGGAUGCUAAAAUUAUUUUGAGAAACUAAAAAUCCUUGAAAGAAAAUGUAUCCUUGAAAGAAAGAGGGGGAGAUGAUGACAUUAGCAAUGGUUAAAACUUAUUGAAAUUCAGCUGUCCUUUGAAAGAUCUUUGUUAAGUAAGAAGCAUAAAAAAUAAAGCUUAUAUAACAAGCAAAUGAUGACCUUUUCAGACAUAAAUUGACAAAGAACAGAUAAAAGAGUACUUGAAAGAGUGGAACAUUUACAGAUUGUUCAAGCCAACUGGUAGUAAGGUAAUUAGGAAAUUCAUUUACCCUGCCACAGGCAAUUAUUGUUGAUGUGACAUGGUAAGGUGGUUAACUACAAAAACACUGUAAAGAAAACAAAAGAAGUUCAAAAGGGAAAAAGAACAGUAAUUUUGGCAAUUAUAUUCUGAAGAUUCUCUUUUUAUCCCAGAGGAGUGGGAAAACGUUGAGAGAAGAAAAACCUCAUUGGGAGUUAGACUACUCAGCCAUCCCAGAGAGCAUGUCCAUCCUUAAUCUUCCAGCCAACUUCAUUUGAAUUAUGUGAGCAAGCUGAAGAGAUAGUGGCAGACACAAGUGAAAGAAGGAGAAAUCGUUUUCUGCAUCUUCUCAUAAUGUACCACUUAGAAGCUCGGAAAGGGAGUAGGAAGUAAUUGCCUUCACUCACAAAGGAAAGCGAGAAAGAAGGUUUUACUUUCCAAAUGGUUUGUCUUAGGUCUGCAACAGAAGCAGUGCUUUCAUCAUGGGAAACAUCUUCAUGAACCUGAGAAUCUAGAGCAACAAUGAAGUUUGAAAAUGACAUCUUGAUAGACAAAGAUGAUAAUGUUUUACUGUGUGCAGAUGUAAAACAAAUGUCUGAAAGAAAAGCAAGAGAAGUUUGAAUUCUGGUUAAACUUUUGGCACUUUGUCUCAUGAAAGUUUAUUACCUAAUUUACAGCCUGAAAUAUGACUGCAGAACCGUAAAGCAAGAAAAAAAACAUAAAUUGCCAUAGACUGAAAAGGGAGGAGCUUAAGUUCUACUUCAUUUAACAUUCUUCAUAUUGAUUUUGAAGUGGGGUAAUAGGUUCAUUUGUGCAAUUUAUCAGUGGUACUAAACUGAAAAGUGUUGCAGUCAACUACAGAGAAAGCAAAAGAAAUUGUAAAUGGAGCUAAAGGAGUUAAAAAAUGGACAAGAAAACAAGUAAAUGAAAUUCAUUGUGGAAAAAAACCCCACACAUAUCUCUCUGGGGUAAAUAUAAUUUAAAACUCAAAUAUUCAUAGAGACAAUGAAACCUGGA